rnacentral:rRNA from 15 species
UNUGUUUGUAAGUUAUAGAGAGUUUGAUNUGCCCCCUGAGGUAUUUAAAGGGCCGCGGUAUACUGACCGUGCAAAGGUAGCAUAAUCAUUAGUNUUUUAAUUGAAGGCUUGUAUGAAUGAUUGGACAAAGUAAUUACUGUCUUUUUUAAAAAAAUUGAAUUUAACUUUAAAGUGAAAAGGCUUUAAUGUUUUAAGGGGACGAUAAGACCCUAUAAAGCUUUACAUUAUUUUUUUUUUUAUAAGUUUAUAAGUUUAAUUAUAAAAAAAUAAUAUAUGUUUUGUUGGGGCGACAAAAGUAUAAAUUGUAUAACUGCUUUAUGUUUAAUACAUAAAUAUAUGGUUGUUUAUGAUCCUUUAUAAAGAUUAAUAGAAUAAGUUACUUUAGGGAUAACAGCGUUAUUUUUCUUGAGAGUUCUUAUCGAAAGAAAAGAUUGCGACCUCGAUGUUGAAUUAAAAUUUCUUUAUAAUGCAGA